UAGGGAAUCUUCCACAAUGGGGCGAAAGCCUGAUGGAGCAAUGCCGCGUGGAGGUGGAAGGCCUACGGGUCGUCAACUUCUUUUCUCGGAGAAGAAACAAUGACGGUGUCUGAGGAAUAAGCAUCGGCUAACUCUGUGCCAG
rnacentral:rRNA from 1 species